rnacentral:lncRNA from 1 species
GUUUUCCAGGAAGUUGUUUACCACUAUCACUAAGGCCUGUUGUUUUAUUCAGUAGUAUGAAAUACUAUAUCCAGUCUUUCUGCUACUAUUAAUCUAGACUAAUAAUUAAGCUUAGGACUUUCAAAAGUAUUGAACUGAGAACCUGGUGCUCACCUGUAGAACUUAUCAAGGUUUAGUCCUCUGUGUGUAUAGGUAUGUAUAUCCCUCUUACUCUGGGCUCUGAGUCCUUGGAUUUCAUCACUGUGAAGAUUCCUGUUUUUUACUGAUGAUUUGAUCUCAUUUUACUAGUAUUAGGAUUUAUUUCCAAACAGAUGUUGUACACUUGAAAGAAAUUUACUGUCCUAUUUGGAAGCUCAUCGUUCCAUAUCGUUCUACUUGGAACUCUACCUGAACUGGGUUUCCAUCACCAUCCUCCUUACAGAACUUUGACAUUUCUUUCCUGGAAUAUGAAAGAAGUUGUGUUACUAAAUUGAAGCCUGAAAUUAAAAAAGCACUUGCAAAACGUCUGCUUCUCUUUCACCAGAAACACAGAAGGGCGUAUUCAGAUUCCUAAAGAAGGCUUUGAAAGGGAUCCAGAGAGUCAAUCACAUGCAUGUGCAGCUAUUUUUUUUCAGAGACAAGAAUAUAUGGAAUGUGAAUGGAGUUUCAGCAUAGCUCUGUGAGCAUAAGUAUGAACUGAAACUCUAUGGGCAAAUUCCAUUAACUUCUAGGUAAAUUAAUGUGCAUAUAGCCAUUGAAUUGCUAAAUUUGUAUGAUUGAAAGCAGGAAAACCUGUCUGCAUUUGGUUGUUAAUACAAUGUUUAAUUAGAAUGAAGAUCUUUAAAAGUGAAAAGUGGAACUGAAUAGCACAAGGCUUUAUGGUUAGUUCCAGAACAUGAUUCUGCCAAAUAUAUGAUUUCUGAAGAGAAAAAUGAAUAUUAUUUAUGCUUUUCAUGUACAAAUAGUAAUAUCUGAAGUAUUUCUAACCAUAGAUUAAUUCUAAGUAAGAAUAAAUAUUUCCCAAAGACUAGGCA